rnacentral:tRNA from 1 species
CCAGGUAGCUCAGUUGGUAGAGCAGCGGACUGAAAAUCAGCGUGUCGGCGCUUAGCCGUGCCUGCUUACUUACCGUUAUCGGGCUAAUCGAAUUCGAACCCGCUGGG